rnacentral:rRNA from 1 species
UACGUAGGUGGCAAGCGUUGUCCGGAUUUACUGGGCGUAAAGAGCGCGCAGGCGGUCGUUCAAGUCGCGUGUGAAAGCCCCCGGCUCAACUGGGGAGGGUCACGCGAUACUGAUCGACUCGAAGGCAGGAGAGGGUAGUGGAAUUCCUGGUGUAGCGGUGAAAUGCGCAGAUAUCAGGAGGAACACCAAUGGCGAAGGCAGCUCGCUGGGACGUGACUGACGCUGAGACGCGAAAGCGUGGGGAGCAAACAGG